AGUAUUUUUCCGUUUACUCCUGAUGAGAAACCAACUGCCACGAAUGAUUUAUCAUCGAAUAGAUAUGUGACAAACACCUUGAGGAUUGAUUCUAAACAACGUUUGCCAUGUUUCUGUCGAUAUUAUGGAGCUAAUUUGUAAAAAAGUUUGGCGUUGUAGUGACUGCAUUUUCGUUUUGUUUUUUUUGCCAAACGUGAUGAACAAAACGGAGCUAUUUCUCCUACACAAAUAAUAUUUUUGGAAAAAAUAAACAUUUGCUAUCUAACUGAGAGUCUCGUCAUUGAAAACAUCCGAAGUUCUUCAAAGGAGUGGGCACCAUAGAAGAAAAGCAAAAAAGGGAGGAAAGAAAAAGAGGUAGAGGCACAGCAACGUACAAUAGAGGUGGGAUACCAUGCUGCUUGUCAAAGCUGCAUUUGAAGAAAGUUACUGCAUAUUUAUCCAACAUGUACAGUAUGGACCAAGGAUUCCCCGGGUUGAGUGAGGUAGACCGUGGACCGACUGAGCCAGCAGUGAUAUUGUUAUAUUUACAUAAAGUGAGAUGUGGAUGACAUUGUAAAACAAAAAAUCACAAAAUAGGUCCAUGUUUUGUUUAUCCUUCAAUGCCUGUUCUGAUAAUACUUACACAACCAACUACAAUUAUAUUCUGAGCAAACAAUAAAAUGGAAAAUCAAUUGUUCACUAUAGUCUACUAUGCUCAGGUUUCUAUCCCAUAUUGAUAACAUCAAUUAAAAUAAAAUAUUAAUGGUCACGUAAACAUAUUUAACAGAUGUUAUUGCGGGCGUAGCAAAAUGCUUGUGUUCCUAGCUCC
ensembl:lncRNA